ensembl:lncRNA
UGCACCUAGAAAGCAUGUGUUGGCCUUUGCAGUCUUCAGUGGGGUGGCCUCUACCCAUCCCAAUCUCUGGUUUUUAUGACCCUUCCUAAGUACUCGACGAGUGUUUACGUUGAAAAGACCUGGUGUCUAAGCAGGUCUGAGUUGACUGGAUGGCAGAGAACAAGAAGGGUGAUGGGAGACAUUGGUCCAAGGCCACUGAAGGUGCAAGUGGGACCCACAAAAGAUGGACCAGUGGAACUCCGAUGGCCAUCAGCUGAUGAAUGGGUCUGCCUGAGCCAUGAAGACUGUCUGUGUACUUUGUAUGGCUUCUGCUGACGUCAGCCCUUCAGGUCGCACCUGGCACAAGAAGGUCACUUCCUGCGUGGAUUUCUCCCAUCCCCAGCUUGAGAGCAGAGGAGGUAGUGGGUUGCCAAAUGUCUGCCAAAAGUUCCUGUCCACCUGAGCCUCGGACUGUGAUCUUAUUUGGAAACAGAGUCUUUGCACAUGUGAUUAAAGACCUGAAGAUGAUGAGCUCAUCCUGGAUUUCGGGUAGGGCCUCAGUUGAAUGACUGUUGUCCUUGUAAGAAAAGGAGAGGACACAGAGACAUGGAGGGGAGAAGAUCAUUUGAAAGACAGGGGCAGAGCUCGUAGAGCUGCUGCUGCAAACCAAGGAGGCAGGAACCGCCAUGAGCUGCAGAAGGUGGCCUCAAACCCUGUCAGCUGCUCCUGCGCUGUGACCUCACUCAGCUCUGCUUCCCAGAACUCCAGGUCUGGCAGGAAACAAGCAGGAAAAGGACCUGCAAGUUCAUGGACCAGGAUCCCGGGAGGAGUCCAAUCCAGGACUUGCCUGUUCUCACAGUAGGGUUGAAAUAGUUCCUCAUCCAGGAAGGUGUCCUCGAUGUCAGCCCCUCCUCCCACCCACCAAUGUGAUGGGAUCCCCAGCUGCCUGUAUCUAACUCUCGCAAUAAAGAUAAGACCCAAGGGAUGAGGCCAGAGAAAGUCUUGCAGGGGAGGUCUCUGAUUUCCACAGCCCCACCCUCCCCACAUCGAGGGCACGGCUGCUCACCUCACUCCAUUUCUGGAAGUUCACCAUAUUUCCCUCGAAGGCAGACAGCCAAUGUCCAUCAGAAACAGCCCCCUUGGCCCAUGACUAGCCCCCAGCCCACCCCUUCCCAAGUUGCAGGACUGCCAGGACCCAGCAGAGGGCAGACACUGCCUCAAGGAGAGCCUGAACCUGGGCCAGGCUCUGGGCUCCAGCGCAGGGGGGGCAGGGUCACUGAGGCCACAGACUCUGUAGCUCCAACCUCUCUGAUGACAGACAGGGAGACUGAGCCCUCAGAAAGGAAGGGACAGCUGGACCACGGAUGUGCUUCCUGACUUGCAGGGGCUGACUUCACUCCCCCAGGGGCAGGGCUUGAGGGAGAGGCUGAGUCCAGCUCUGACACCACCUCCCGCAGCUCUGUAGUGAGGCAGCUCUGAGCUCCCCCAGCCCAGGGAGCCUGGAGGGGGGCUUAUGCAGAGCCUUGGGUCUCACAUUGCUAAGAUGUGCCUGAGGCCCCAGCUCCAGGGGCUGCCAGGAGGUUCUCAGGAGAGGAGCUUUGCCAAGUGCUGAGAGCUCAGGGCCCAGUGCAGGGCUCUCGCCUCCCAAACCUCUGGAUCCUCUUCCCUGUUCCCCUCUCCAUGCUCACACUCCUUCAGAUAAUCCUCCAUCUCAGUGUCCAGCAGCUGCAGGUAAUCGAGGAGUGAGCCCAGGAAGGGGACGACACCCUGAGCCAUCAGGGUGGGAAUGGUGAUGAGUCCCGGCUUUCAUGUGCCCCCAUGGGACCCUCCCCCCAAAACCCUCACCCCAGCCUCCUGCCCACCCCGGACUCCCACAUAGAGCAGCCCAGGACCCUCAGCAGUCUCCCCCAGGAGCCCCCUCCAGGAACACCAAUCUCCCCUGUCACCUCCCAGGCUUGGCUUUAUGCAGAUCCCAGGGAAUGUGGUCCCUGCUCCUCCCCACCCCAAGUCCCUCCUGGGCCAGCCCUGCCAGGCCUCCUCCUGCUCACUUCUAAUGCAGCCGGUUCAGGCUCUGCAUGGCCAGGAGCUGGGCUGGAGGAGGAGGGACCCCUCUCUUGGUGGAGGCCUCCAGCUGUGAGGGUGGAGCACCCUCUCCUCGAACACAUGGACCCCUCCUCCCCACCACAGGCACCCUCACCUGCCACUGCUGCCUCUCCUGGGCUAUCCAGGGAUCCAUCUCCAGGGUCUCCCACAGAGAGGUCGCUUCCUGCAGCGUCAAGGACAAGGUCAGGGAGGCCAUGCUCCCUUCCGCAUGUGUCCCAGGCCCUUGAUCUUGGACCCUGGACAUCUCGUGUGUGUGGCUGCUCCGUUUUCCAGAUGCUCUGAUUCUCGAUCAGUCCCAGCUCCAACACUUGCUCCUCUGUGGCCUUGGGCCUGCCCAGGCCCCUCAGCCUCUCUCCUCAUCUGGAAAGGGUGAGGAGAACUCCACCUGCCUCCCAGGGCCUCCUGAGGACUCAGUGUCAUCUGACUGUCAUCACUGCUCUCCCCUCACCCCUCGAGGAGGAGGCGGCACACAGCUCCUGCACAUUCCUCUCCUCCCUUGAACCUCAUCCCCCGUUUGUGGGGCUUGAACCACAGAUCACCUCCCUCCACGUCCCACAUGGGGAGACCGAGGCUCACAGAGGGGCUUGACUUGCUCAGAGGCCCACAGAGGAGAGACCCCUUCCCCUCCCAGCCAGAGGCCCUGUCCAUCUGCCUUCACCCCACCUACAGACACACCUCUGAACAUGGUCAUGUCCUCUGGACUCUCAGGGUGUGAGCAGACCCUCAGCCAGGCUGAGCCAUGGAUGACAAGGGGCAGGGUGUCUCAGAGGGCCUGUCCAAGUGGCAUCUACCUGUCCCAGCCCCCUGGGAUUCUCUGACCCCAGGCUAUACCUGAGGCGAUGCCAAAGGCCUCAGCUCCCUAGGAUCCCUCAGGACGUUCCCCUGAACACAACUCUCUUUUCAUCCACUCAGGAAGGUGACCCCUAGUGCCACAUCUGAGUGACAGUUACGGGGUGACCAGGGCACUGGUUGAUGGUGACAUUUGCUUCCUUUUUGUUCUUGGAAACUUCUAACAUCCAGUCAGGAAGGUCCACGAAGAAUCUAUUGGAUCCCCUGAUACUCUCAUUGCCAUCUGGGGCAUGUGCCCUGCCAACAAGGCAGCAGGUGAGAACCCCACUGGGUAUGUCAGCAGUGACCACUAUCAGGGCACAGUGGGGAGUCCCAGAGAGCACACAGUUCUGUCCCAGGUCCACCAUUCAUCCCAUGCUGGGCAGCCCUCAUGUCCACCUGGCCCAUGGGACCACGCAGUGCCCACCUCAGGGGCUGGCAGGGUGCCCUGUCCUUGGACGUGCAGCAAAGACAGAAGGAGCAGCAGGGGCCUGGCUUCCUGAGGACAGACGGGGCUGCUUUAGGAAGAAAAGAAUACCCACCCCCUCCAUCCACCCACAGCCUGGAGAGAGUCAAGUGCCAGCUGAUGGACCCACAUGGGAGCCAGAGACCUGCACAUCCCGCUGGCUCCUCUCCCUCCUGGACAGUCCAGCCAACACCCCUGGGCCCCAUGACCAAGGCCUCCUGUCCCUAACUGCCCCCACCCGUCCACGCAGCUAACACCUCUCUUCCUGUCAAUCAGAACAAUAUAGACGGUUAUUCCUCAGAGAAACUUUAAGGGAAAAACUCAGCAAAGCACAUCCUGCCUGCUCCCUCCUCCCCUCACCCCUCCCCUCCUUCCAGAUCUGCAGCCUCCACUCACCUCCAUGAGCAGCUUCCUGCUCACCCGCUGGUCCUUGGUGCACAAUUUUGUAAAAUUUUUGAGAGCUCUUCCCGAGGGGGGAAAAGGAAUGAAAACCUGUGCAGUGGUUUAAGGGUAAAUCCUGUGUCUUCGAAAACCCAGAAUAUCCAAACAUCCUGGAUGAGCGUUUUCCCUGGGUCCUCUGAGCCCUGGGGUCUCCACGGGACUGGGGAGGGGGCUCUCCCGGUGUCACCUGGGCCUCCAUUCCUGUAACUCCUCAGCAGAUGUGUUUUCAACAGUCGUGGUUUCAGCCGGACGGAGAGUUCUGUUGCUGCAAAGCAAAUACUUGAAAAUCUUCAAUUUGCCUCAACCCAGGACCUGACGUUCAGGGACACUGAUUCCUGAAGCAGAAGCCCCCGGCCUAAGUUUCCAGAGAGACUCAGAGUCCGCCAGCCAGGUGAGUCUCUGUCACCAGGGUUUGCUGUCUCCCAGGUGGUGCCAGCUUACUGAGGGGGCAAUGCCAGCACUAUGGGGGGUGUCUGGUCUUCCAAGGUGAUGCUCACAUGAAGAGAGGCCUACCCACCUGGAAACGUGUCCCCAUGUCUUUUUGAGCCGAUGGAUCGUGCAGCUCUGCAGAGCAGAGAGGAUGGCAUGCAGUGAAGCAAAGUUCCUCAGGCCUUGGCACUCCUGGGGCAGGGAAGAGAGUGAGCUGGUGAGGAGAGCUGGAGCCCUGCUGCCUCUGGCUUCUGUUCCCUCAUGGACAUCUCCUGUCUUGGAUGAGACGCAUGCUGAGGAACCCAGUGAGGGCACCCCUGGGACCUGAUGAGUAGCAUUCCCAGGUUGGAGAAUUUGAGCUCAACCCAAGGAGGGAGCCCAGGAAGAAGUGAGCUUCCCACGCUGGGAACAGGAGUCAAGGUCAGUGAGGCCCCGGCAGGAGGGGCCUGGGGACUGUGCAAGGGCUCAGAGCACAGACUUCAAUCCUGAGAGCUGAGGAAGGAGAAGGGGCAGUUUCCAUGACUCCAGAGAGGGGCUCCCUGGGCCGCCCAGAAGGUACCUUGGACACCUGGAUCCAGAGCUCCACCACCCUGGCCCUGUCCUGGGCUGUCAUGCUCAGGUCCCCCAGGCAGGUGGUGACAACACAGUUGACCACUGUGAUAAACUGGGUGAUGGUGGCACGGAUGGUGCAUGCCAGGUGCUCAUUGCCCCUGCUGUCCCAUGGGGACCAGACGGAGUCCAGACAGUGGGGGGGAUCACUUUCUUGAACAGCUCCUGGGGAGGAAGAGAGUGUCACCCAGCCCUGUCACAUGCCUGCUCCAUGUCCACAGUCCACAGUCCCAGGCAGAGUCAGUGGUCAGAGCUGGAGCUCAGGAAGCUGAGGAUGUGGCCUGGGGCUUGUGGGGGUCCCUGGGUUUUGUCUGUGCCCACUGAGGGCACCCAGCACAGGAUGACCCAGGACCAAUAGUGCGGGGAAGGAAAGUGGCAUUCGCUCCCAGCCCAGUCUCACUACUCCAGGCACCAGAACCCCGCUGAUACUUGACGAACGCAAGGGGCAUCGUCUACCUUUUCUGAUCACCCUGGGGCCCGACUCCUCAUUCAGAUGUGCAGUCCUCCCAAGGAGUAACAAUCACAAUCUUUGUAUGUUUGUCUCCCAGGUAGUCAUUACAUAUGAGGUCCCUAAUAAUUGCUAAGGCUGUUGAUGCCUCCUGUGCAAAUGGAUGACCCACCCAAGGACCUGACAGCCCUUCAGUGACCUCCCCUUCCCCCGCCAAAGGGCCAGACUCUGCCCACCUUCCUCUCUGUUCCGCCUCAUUCGUCUGCACAGCCGCUAUGCCUGGCAGAUGCUCUUUUGUCCAUGUCUAGUGUCCACAUGCGGACAGCACAGGCUUGGGAGUUAAGAGGUUGCCCAGGGCACAUGUGUGUAAGUGGGAAAGCUGGGAUUGAAUGUAGGACAUGGGAUUCUGGAUCAGGAAACAGCAGGUCUUGGGCCUCUGAUGGCACAGGGAAGGCCCGCCCCACCUGCCCUGAGAGCCCUGCUGCUCACCGCAUCCAUCAGUGUAAAUUGCUCUGCAAUCAGCUGGGGACGGAACUCCAGGAAGUCAGGCUUCUCCUCCCACAGCAGGCUCUUGGUGGUCACAGCCCGGGGGCAGGUGGGCUCUUGGGCUGGAUGGGCUCUGAUGUAAUCUCUCCAGAUGGAGGAAGUGUUCUCCCUGGAGACAAGGGUCCAGCGGGCUCCAGCUGGAUCUGGCACUGGGGCUGGAGCUGUUGUUGGCAUGGCUCUGGCCCUGGGGGGACUGAUGGAGGUGACACUUGCUCCAGCUCUAGCACAGGUGGUAGAACUAGAAUUGGAGUUGGCCCAGGCCAUGGAGCUGGCCCUUGCUCUGGCUCUGGAGCUGGUGGGAGCUCUGGAGAUGGUCCUGGAGCAGCAUAAAGAAAAAGUAUCAUCAAGUAGAUGACCUCCCCUGAGUCUUUCCAAAGACAGGAAGGACCCCAAUGCCUUAAGGGAACCCAGCCCGUGAACCCCCUGCAAAUCGUCUUCCCACACUGCAGGGCCCUCACCUUCCAGCUCUGCCUCCACGGGCUCUGGAGGACUCCAGCUGGACUGGGAGGAGGGAGGCGUGGCCCUCCUGCUCUGAGGUAGGCGAGCUCACGUGCACACGGGCCAGCUUCAUCUGCGAAGAGACGGCAAUGGGGGAAGGCAUUGGGCAACAGAGUCAGAGGCCUGGUCUUUCCCUCCACACUGCCCACUGAAGGCGCCCUUAUUUGGUCUGGGCCCCUGUGCCCGCCCAUUCCCAUCCAGAGGAGAGCCCCGGCCCAGUCCCGCCCCUGUGUGGCUGUCCUGGUGGUGGCAGGACUGCUCAACCAGCAAGUUGAACACAGAGUCAGUGUGAGUCUGUUCUUCCCACUGACACUCUCUUCCUGAAGGGCUUGGACAAAGCCCACCCCAGCCCUCCAUGCAUUUAUGCAACUGGACUGAGGACUGAGGCAGACGUGUGACCAUGUUGCUCACACACCUCCUGUUCUGGGCCUGCUGGGGGUGGUCCGAAGAAGUGGAUGUGGAGAAGGGGAGGCAGAUCAAGAUAGGACUAUGGUGGGGAUGGGUCUCUAGGGGACAGCCCAGCCCAGCCUCCACUCUGGUUCCCAGGGGUCCUGGGACCCAUCUACAGGUCUUUGAAUCCUGACCUCCUGGAAUGGAAGCCAUCAGACCUCAGCCUUCCAGUGAGAAUCAAAACAUGUGUGAGAUGCAGGGUUUUGCCAGCCUGGCCCCAGCCACAGUCCCCCAUUUCCCCCAACCCUGUUCUGUAGAGACAGGGCGCCCUCCUUCUGGACCCAGAGGCCACUCAUUUUAUUCCGGCAUCCUGUGGUCUGCCCUCCUGGUUUUGAUAAUGGAAGAUGCCUCCAGAUGUAAAGGAGGUGACGAGAGCACCAUUUGGGAUGUGCGAUGGAUGACAGGACUUGCGAAUGAUGUCUAAUGUGACUAUUUGACUCUCAGACUACAACUGAGACGCAGGGAUUGUAUCUGUUGGACACCUGGAUUCACUGAGUUAUGCUAAGUGUCUCCAAAAAUCCUGCACAUAGUAGGUGCUUCACAUACAUGGUUGAAUGAAUGAAGUCCAGCCAGAAGCAUCCCAGAUGUCGGAGUGGGCCUGGGGCCCCUCUGCUCCCCAGACAUCCCUAAUUGGCCCCACCAAGCACAAGGACCAGGACCAUCUCUCUGGAAUCUCAAACUCCUUGACAGGGUGCUGUCCGUGUGCUUUGCCAAACUCAGAAAGACCACAUCCCAGAGACGGGUGAGACAGACUACUUUCCAUGAGGAAGAACCAAUAAUAACCAUGAACAACCACAGCUCACCCCACAGCCACAUCUGCAGAGCCAGGCACCAGGUCAGCACCCGCCAUGGCUGAUCCCAUUAGUCCCUCCAAGAACCCCAUGACGUUUAUCCUCUCCCACCCCACUUUUCAGAGGAGCAAAGUGAGGCUCAGGGAGAUGCAGUGACAUUACAAGAAUUACAGCUGGCAGUGGGCAGUCACCCAGUAAACAGCUGGUCCAGGACCUGGUGGGAUGUGUUGAAGGCCGAGUAGUUGAACACAAAGGUGGUGACAUUUGAGAUGUUUCUACCUAGGAAAGCUGGUGCCAUGGACUUUGUCAGUCUCCAUCAGGUCUGCUGGAGGGACCGCCACCUGCAGGCCUCAUUUAAAUUCACAAAGGGGUCAUCUUCACUCUGGGUGGAAGGAGGAGGGACACACAAAAAAUCAGUGGCAUCACCGUGAACCACUAGGAGGAUGGAGGUUACUUUCUUUCUGCCUAUGUAGCUGGUGGGGAGGAGGGGAGGUCGUGAUUCCUUUGGGAGUGGGACUGUGGGACACUCUAGUGAGAAAACACUGGGAGCAUCUCAGGGGAGUCUCAGAUUUGGGUCUGGAUUCUGGUACUGCCUCGGUCAUCUCAGGGUCCUGGGUGUGAAGACCCCUCUGCACUAAGCCCGGCCCGGGUCAUUGUUGGUGGCCUGGAGCACCCGCCCCCUGUCCAGGGAGACGGCAUAGUCGAAACCAUUCACUAACUAUGUGACCAUCUUGUGGGUGCAGCUCUGCAAACACAGUGCCUGGGAGAAAGACCAGGAGGGAUCAGGGGCCUGCCUGGACCUCACCAGGGGGAACCCGCACCACAGAUCAGGCUCAGAGGGGCACCUGCAUAGACCUCCAGCCAGGGCUGGAAUGUGAUGACACCUGGUGGGCUUGGGAUUCACAUAGGGAUAAAGGAGCUCGGUCCCCAGCACUCAACUUCCUACCCUGCCAGCCAAGAUGUGGGGUAUGAAGAUGACCCAUUGCCAGACUUCCAACAUCUCACUACCUGCUCCUACCCGGGAUGUGUCCCUCCUCAUCCCCACCUUUCCUAAGUGCACCUCCCAAACACACACACACACCUUGAGCAUCAAGGGGUGUGGGGCUGGCCAGGUGGGAGCACAGUUGUGACCUGACCUGGAGCGGCCUGCCCUGGGUUGCCCUGUGUUGCCUGAGGGUUCCUCCUGCCAAAAGGCCAGAGGUGUUAGAGGUGAGAGUUGAAUCAAUGUCUACAAAGGCUCUCGUCAGAUUUCUAGAAGCCAGAGCUUCGGAAAGUUGGGACACAACAUGCAAACAUCUUGUUCUCUUGAGUGCCUCCAUUCAAGUGAGCUGGAUGUGAGGCUGUGUCUAGAAUGUGGGUGCCUGGUAACCAAAGUUCUAAGUUCUGUUGGGGUCUGUCACCAAAGAAGUGAGGCCACUUCUCAAGGUUCCAUUAUCUGGGCCCCUUCCUUCAAUCAGACCCACCCAAAGCCUCCUCUGGGCUGUUGACUGCUCAUCGCCCUUGCCCAUGUCAUCUCCAUAAUUGUACACAAAUAUCCAUCACUGCCCUCCCCACAGCGCUCUGGGAAUGGGACCAGGGCCCUAGCUUUGAGGAGACACAGCUGAGUUCAGACCUCUUUUUUCCUACCAAUUCUGAGUCCUGGAAAAGCCAUUUGUGCCUCUCAUGGCCUCCCCAGUCUCCCAACCUGCACAGUGGAGAUGGUGCUAAAACCAAUUUCCUAGGCACAUCAUCAGGUGUGUAUGUGACAAUACCUAUAACUUCUGUGGGUUAGAGUCACAUGUGUCUGAUACAGAAACUUAGAGAUGGAAGAUGGAAGAUUGGGACAGUCACUGCCCCCCUGGGCCUCAUUUUCAGGUCUGCACUUUUCAGGGGUUGAAAUUAGAAGAAAUUCAUAUAUUGUGAUCCACUGGCAAAAGUUUCCCAUGGUCUCCUGUUUUACUUAGAAUCAGACCCAAGUGCCUCAUGUCGGCCUGUGUGUGGGGCAGCCUCCACAAUGGCUCCCAGUGCUCCCUGCCUCCUGGAGUGCACGUCCUUAUGUGACAGCUAAGUGGUUAGUAACUGGCUUCUGAUCAACAGAAUGCCCCAAGGUGAUGGGAUGUCACUUCCAAGUUUUAAUUACGAAGAGCCUGUCACUUCCUUCUUACAGGCAUUCUUGGGUUCCCUCCUCCUCUCCUGUUUGCAGCUCUCUCUCUGUCUUAUCUCUGGAACUGAGAGAGCAAGCACCGAUGCUUUCAGUUGCCCUGUGUAGAGGCUCCAUAGGAGAGAACUGAGGGGGUGCCCAGCCAACAGACAGGCAGGAACUCAGACUCUCAGUCCAGAUGAAUCCUGACAACACCCAUGUCAGCGAUCUUGGGUGGGAGUCCUCCCCCAGUUGAGCCCUGUUGAGACUGCAGCCCCUGCUUCAUAGAGAAUUUGAAGCUGAGGCACCCAGCUAAGCUCUGCCUGAUGCCUGGCCCACAGAAAGUGCAGGAUGUUAACUGUUUGUUCCUUAUGGGUGGAAGGUUUUGGAGCAAUGUUGUCAUAGAGGAACAGAAACUAACACAGUCCACCAUGUCCCACGAUCUGGCCCUCUCACCCUCCUCUCUCUUCUCAGGCUCCCUCCAGCCACACCUGCCACCUUUCUGACCUCCUCUGGUCAAACUCACUUCUUCCUGUGAAUCUCUGCACCAGGGGUACCUUCUCCCUGACAUGCUAACUGUUCCCAGAUAUAGGCAAGGGUGGCUUACACUUGUCAUUCUGGCUACAGCAAAUAAUCACCUCAGUGAGGCCUUUCAGAACCUCCCAGCACAGUCUCACAUCCAGAGGUGCAUGACAUUAUUUCUUUUGUCUUGAUCACAUUUAGAUAAAGUUGAGUCCAUGAGGAAGGGCUGUCUGCUUUGUCUGAAGCAGAUGCAAAUCCUGGUUACACCAGGCACCCAGGUUGAAACACCACCAGAUCCUGAAUUCAGUUACUGCUGAGAUCCUCCCAGCAAUUUGGUAAUUCAGUGGUUCUCCUGAGGUCACCUUUCCCCUGAGACCCAACUCCCAGCCAGCCCUUGGCUAAUUAGAUGAACAAUGAGAUUUUCUCAGAGUCCUCCCAGCCAGGACAAGAAAUGUUUUGAAAUGUUCUCUGUAUUAACUUUUAGGAAGUGGGGAUGCUGGCAGAAGUAAUUUGGGUGUGUAUGUACAAUAGUUUCUCUAUAGGUAUUAUUCAGACAAAAUAGUGUGGCUAUGGGAUAUAUCAAGAAAAUGGAUAAAUUGAUCCAAUUUUUUCAUGAUGUGAAGUCUUUAGAGAUUAAAUAUCAUGGUUAAGAGCAUAGAAUAUGAGCCGACAUCUUAUGUUCAAACUCCAACUCAAUCGCUUACUGGUUAUUUGUAUUGAUCAAGUUACUUACCUUGUUGGUACCUCAGUUUCUUCAUCUGUCAGUUGACAGUAAUGAUAAGCGUACCUACUUUGUAAGGCCAUGGGGAGUACUAAAGGAGUUAAUGUUUGAAAAAUGCCUGUAACACCUAGCAUUUACAGCACUGUAUCUAUAUAUUAUGAAUAAAAUUUAAAAAUUGUUUUGACACUGUAA